ACAUCCAGUCUGGUGCCGCUGCCGAAAGUGUACCACAGUGAUACAAACUAAUAGAACAGCUGCACAAAAACCUCUGAGCGCUUCACUAACUGCACUUUAAACACAUGAUCACAAACACAUCUUUACACAACACACAUACAAACACACUUUCACUUCUUACUGUCAUUAACAACUCAUUCAAAAGUGCAACAUUGCAUUAUAACAUAUAUAUUACAUUGUAAUAAACAGUUUUUUAUCACUCCACUGACUCUAUAACUCAUUUGAUUUAGUUUGAUCUCCUGAAUGCUCGUGAAAUAUCCACAAUGAGGAAAAAUCCAGAGAAGUUCCACUGAUUGAAAUGUAUUUAAUAAAUCAGAAAUAAAGAUGUCAAUAAUUUGUGUAUUUUCAUGUAUGAAUUGUUUGUCAUUGCUGCUGUUCUCCUGUAACAGUCACAUUUGCUGGUGAGAGGAAACAGUUUUGAAUGUCCCGCCCCUCUGAUUAAAGCACAAUAUCAGACUGUCUGUUAGUCAGGACUGUCAAACCAACAUCACUGUUCCUUCAGUUCUCACUCAUUCACAGUAAAGAUGACAGCACACGCUCUCAUUAUCUGCUCUCUUCUGCUUUUCACUGCUGGUUGUUUCGGUGAGAUUAUUCUGACUCAGAGUCCCAAAGUGAAGAUGGUGUCAGUGGGAGACAGUGUCACUCUCAACUGUGUGUCCAGCUCUGAUAUUAGCACUAGUUUAGCCUGGUAUCUGCAGAGAUCUGGAGAAACACCCAAACUCCUGUUCUAUUAUGUUGGUAGCAAAGUGUCUGGAGUUUCUGACAGAUUCACUGAUGGGGGAUCAGGAACAAACUUUAUGCUAAAUAUCAGAAAUGUCCAGACUGAAGAUGCAGGAGAUUAUUAUUGUCAACAGCAUUAUCAGUUUCCACUCACUUUCGGCAGCGGCACCAGACUGGAUGUUGGCAGCAACACUCUUCCUGCCGUGAGCGUCCUGCUGCCCUCCAGUGAAGAGAUUUCCACAAAGAACACAGCAACACUGAUGUGUGUGGCCAACAAGGGCUUCCCCUCAGACUGGAGCCUGAACUGGAAGGUGGACGGGAGCAGCAGGACUGAGAAGAGCAGUGCUGGGGUCCUGCAGAAGAACGGUCUGUACAGCUGGAGCAGCAGUCUGACUCUCUCUCAGGACGAGUGGAUGAAGGCGGUCACAGUGAGAUGUGAGGCCACACGGCAAGGCCAGACGUCAGUCAUUAGAGAAGUGAGGAGAGAUCAGUGUUCUGAGUAGAUCCUCUGAUUCUCUUCUGCUCUUCUCACUCAUGUCUCACAUGGAGACUAACAGUGACUUCUAUUCAGACAAGUAUAUGUGUGCUUUUGUUCUUCUGCUGUUUUCUCUUGUCAAAAUUCAAUAAAUGAAAUAAU